rnacentral:rRNA from 1 species
GCUUUUCAGUGUUGGGGAGGGGCACCUGGCCGGCAAACCGGCGCCGGUUUUAUGAUGGAUUUCCUUUUGAAUGCUGUAACUAAUGUGGUUCUCCGGGCAAGCCUGAUGCAGCCAUGCCGCGUGUAUGAAGAAGGCCUUCGGGUUGUAAAGUACUUUCAGCGGGGAGGAAGGCGGUGAGGUUAAUAACCUUGUCGAUUGACGUUACCCGCAGAAGAAGCACCGGCUAACUCCGUGCCAGCAGCCGCGGUAAUAC